rnacentral:lncRNA from 1 species
UCACUUCUUUUGUAUAUUAAAACGAAAUUGGCCGAGUAUAUGAAUUUUGCCCAACAUUUCAAGAUGGAUGUAUUUCUUACUAUCAUAUUAAAGUGAUAGGAAGGAAUGGAAAGAUAGGAAGCUUAGAGAGCUAAUGGAAAGAAAUGCGUAAGAAAUAGCAGAUCCGUGACUAGGGGCAAGAUACAGACUUUAGGGCGUUAAGUCAUUUAUUAUACAUAAUUUUAUCUUGCAUAAGGAGUUCAGGGGUAUCUCGGGCCUUGAUAGUUCGGGAUACCCGUCGCGACCAGGGCCCGGCUCGGGUCAUGACAUGAAAGAUGUUGUCAGAUGUUGAUGAUGAAGCUGUUUGGCACAGGCUUACUAUGACGUUUAUUAUACGCAAUCUUAUCUUGCAUUUCUAUCUGAGACUGUUUUCAAAACUUGAACUUGUUUGUGCAUGCAAACCAUGCAUAUCAGAUUACACAAAAUUGCCAUGCUCAACAGACAGAAAUUGAAGUGAAUAAAUUUUGUAAACAUCGUAGGACACAAAAAUCUUUGCUAAUUCACCUCCUCCCUCUUCUUCCCAAACAGUUCCAGAUGUGGCCAAUCAUAUUGACCUUUGUCAAACAUCACCAGAAAUACCUUGAAUCUAACUCAACCUCUUGUCUUGUUAUCUUAACGAGUAAAUUAUUCUUCUUCGUCAGGAUCGAAGUCUCUGAACAUUACACUGAUGAAAUGUUCAGCAGUAGUACUCCUAGCCAUCUUCCUCACCAACUCAACAUGCAGUCUAGCAAUAUCAGUAGCCACAGACAUAACAUAAGCAUCACCACCAGCAGUCACAAAAUUUGUCAGAGUUCCCUGUUGACGACUAAAAUUUGAUUUGACCAACACCGCAGCUGCAAACAAUGUCGGGAAUUUAUUUCUAGACAGACACAUCUGAUCUUUCUCCGGUUGAAGAUACCUAAAAAACUGAGGAUGUGAACAUCUAGUAACGGCUUUAGAAACUCCUUCAAUAUAACAAAAGUAUUGAGCAGGAGAAGUUAUAGUACAAGAACAGUGGAGGAAAAUAAAACAGCCGAAAGCUUUUUCUUGAAUAGAAAAUAUGGCGACUGAAAUUACAAGGAAAAACAGAACAACUUUACACUCCUACUACAAAUAUAACUCCUAACUUUAAC